GUGAAUUGCAGUACUCCAAC
rnacentral:piRNA from 1 species